AACAUUUUCAUUUUCUCUUCCCGUUUUCAAUACACUGAAUAUUCGAAUCGUACAACGUAUUUAACUAACAGAUGAUAUAUUAUAUAACAUAUUAAAGUAUAGCGAAAAUAUCCAGUCGAGGAAUUUUCCACACGUGGAUACUGGAUACAUAUGUCUUUUAUUAUGUGUGUUAUACUUUUCUAAUAGUCCCAGAAAGUUUGACAACUAAAAGUUAAAACUCG